rfam:Candidate division TA06 bacterium 34_109 MPJ_scaffold_0, whole genome shotgun sequence.
GUGGGUAGAUGCUGGCUACAAGUUUUUACUUGAGGAAAGUCCGAACUCCACAGGGCAGGAUGCCGGGUAACUCCCGGAGAGCGAAAGCUCAUGGAAAGUGCAACAGAAAACAAACCGCCUGUGUAAACAGGUAAGGGUGAAAAGGUGAGGUAAGAGCUCACCAUCUGUUCAGGUAACUGAGCGGAUUGGCAAACCCCAUCCGGAGCAAGAUCAAACAGAGGUUGGCUUGCCCGGCUUAAACCUCGGGUAGAUCGCUUAAGAUGGCUGGUAACAACCAUCUUAGAUAGAUUGCCAGUUGAACAGAAUUCGGCUUACAGUCUACCCACAAAU